rnacentral:rRNA from 1 species
GACGGAGGAUGCAAGCGUUAUCCGGAAUGAUUGGGCGUAAAGCGUCCGCAGGUGGCAGUUCAAGUCUGCUGUCAAAGACCGGGGCUUAACUUCGGAAAGGCAGUGGAAACUGAACAGCUAGAGUAUGGUAGGGGCAGAGGGAAUUCCUGGUGUAGCGGUGAAAUGCGUAGAUAUCUGGAGGAACACCGGUGGCGAAGGCGGCAUCCUGGACCGACACUGACGCUGAGGAGCGAAAGCCAGGGGAGCAAACGGG